rnacentral:rRNA from 1 species
GUCACGCCAGUGGCACAGCUGGGUAGCUAUGUUGGGACUGGAUAAACGCUGAAAGCAUCUAAGCGUGAAGCCAACCUCAAGAUGAGAUUUCCCAUAGCGUAAGCUAGUAAGACUCCUGGAAGAACACCAGGUUGAUAGGUCAGAGAUGUAAGCAUGGCAACAUGUUAAGUUGACUGAUACUAAUAAGUCGAGGGCUUGACCAAAA